CGAGCGAACAGAUAAGGAGCUUGCUCCUUUGACGUUAGCGGCGGACGGGUGAGUAACACGUGGAUAACCUACCUAUAAGACUGGGAUAACUUCGGGAAACCGGAGCUAAUACCGGAUAAGAUUUUGAACCGCAUGGUUCAAUAGUGAAAGACGGCCUUGCUGUCACUUAUAGAUGGAUCCGCGCCGUAUUAGCUAGUUGGUAAGGUAACGGCUUACCAAGGCAACGAUACGUAGCCGACCUGAGAGGGUGAUCGGCCACACUGGAACUGAGACACGGUCCAGACUCCUACGGGAGGCAGCAGUAGGGAAUCUUCCGCAAUGGGCGAAAGCCUGACGGAGCAACGCCGCGUGAGUGAUGAAGGUCUUCGGAUCGUAAAACUCUGUUAUCAGGGAAGAACAAACGUGUAAGUAACUGUGCACGUCUUGACGGUACCUGAUCAGAAAGCCACGGCUAACUACGUGCCAGCAGCCGCGGUAAUACGUAGGUGGCAAGCGUUAUCCGGAAUUAUUGGGCGUAAAGCGCGCGUAGGCGGUUUUUUAAGUCUGAUGUGAAAGCCCACGGCUCAACCGUGGAGGGUCAUUGGAAACUGGAAAACUUGAGUGCAGAAGAGGAAAGUGGAAUUCCAUGUGUAGCGGUGAAAUGCGCAGAGAUAUGGAGGAACACCAGUGGCGAAGGCGACUUUCUGGUCUGUAACUGACGCUGAUGUGCGAAAGCGUGGGGAUCAAACAGGAUUAGAUACCCUGGUAGUCCACGCCGUAAACGAUGAGUGCUAAGUGUUAGGGGG
rnacentral:rRNA from 1 species